AUUGAACGCUGGCGGCAGGCCUAACACAUGCAAGUCGAACGAGUGGCGGACGGGAGAGUAAUGUAUGGGAAACUGCCUGAUGGAGGGGGAUAACUAGUGAAACCGGUAGCUAAUCCCGCAUACCAUCAGAUGUGCCCAGAUGGGAUUAGUUUGUUGGUGGUGUAACGGCUCACCAAGGCGACGAUCCCUAGCUGGUCUGAGAGGAUGACCGGCCACACGGGAACUGAGACACGGUCCAGACUCCUACGGGAGGCAGCAGUGGGGAAUAUUGCACAAUGGGCGAAAGCCUGAUGCAGCCAUGCCGCGUGUAUGAAGAAGGCCUUCGGGUUGUAAAGUACUUUCAGCGGGGAGGCGUUACCCGCAGAAGAAGCACCGGCUAACUCCGUGCCAGCAGCCGCGGUAAUUC
rnacentral:rRNA from 1 species